GACGAACGCUGGCGGCGUGCUUAACACAUGCAAGUCGAACGGUGAACCAGAGCUUGCUCUGGGGAUCAGUGGCGAACGGGUGAGUAACACGUGGGCAACCUGCCCAGACUCUGGGAUAACCUCGGGAAACCGAUGCUAAUACCGGAUACGACCACUUCGGACAUCCGACGGUGGUGGAAAGUUUUUCGGUCUGGGAUGGGCCCGCGGCCUAUCAGCUAGUUGGUGGGGUAAUGGCCUACCAAGGCGACGACGGGUAGCCGGCCUGAGAGGGCGACCGGCCACACUGGAACUGAGACACGGUCCAGACUCCUACGGGAGGCAGCAGUGGGGAAUAUUGCACAAUGGGCGAAAGCCUGAUGCAGCGACGCCGCGUGAGGGACGACGGCCUUCGGUUGUAAACCGUACUUUCAGCAGGGACGAAGCGAAAGUGACUGUACCUGCAGAAGAAGACACCGGCUAACUACGUGCCAGCAG
rnacentral:rRNA from 1 species